rnacentral:rRNA from 1 species
CCUACGGGGGGCUGCAGUGGGGAAUAUUGGGCAAUGGAGGAAACUCUGACCCAGCAACGCCGCGUGAAUGAUGAAGGUCUUCGGAUUGUAAAGUUCUUUUCUAAGGGAAGAAGAAAGUGACGGUACCUUAGGAAUAAGCCUCGGCUAACUACGUGCCAGCAGCCGCGGUAAUACGUAGGAGGCGAGCGUUAUCCGGAAUGACUGGGCGUAAAGGGUGCGUUGGUGGUUUGGCAAGUUAGUAGAGUAACUCCAAGGCUCAACCUUGGAACUACUACUAAAACUGUUGGACUUGAGUGCAGGAGGGGCAACCGGAAUGCCUAGUGUAGCGGUGGAAUGCGUAGAUAUUAGGAGGAACACCAGUGGCGAAGGCGGGUUGCUGGACUGUAACUGACACUGAGGCACGAAAGCGUGGGGAGCAAACAGGAUUAGAUACCCUAGUAGUC